AAAAGUGUAGUUGGCUAGUAUAGUUUUACACACAGCAGCUGAAUGAGAACUGGACGGGCUGAGACACAAAAACUACUGAGGAAUCUAGAACAAAUAUAGAUUUCAGUCUUCAAAACUUUGACAAUGGGAAAUGGUGAAUCUGGUGAAGUUAGGGAACGCAGAAGAGCUAACAAUGCUGAGCAGCAACGCACCAGAGCUGAAAAUGAAAAAUCGAGUUUGGAGGCACAACUUCAAAGACUAAAACAAGAAAGUGAAUUAGAACGAUUGAGAGAGGAGAAAAGAAUAGCAGAGGAGCGCAACAAAAGUGAAGCAGAAAGACGGGCACUCCAGGAACAAUAUGAUAGAAUAGAAAAUGAGAGAAACAUGGAGAGAUUGAAAGAAGAAGAGAAGAAGAGAAUCGACAAGGAUAACCGAUGUAAAGAAGAAGAAGAAAGGAAAAGAAUUCACAUAGAGAAGCUAAAUGCACAAAAAGAUGAAAGUAAAAAGAUCUGAAGGCUAUGGGUUUAUUACAGUUAUUCAUACUACCAAUACUUGCAGUUGCUUGCACACAACACACCUACAGUAGCCUACACCACAAUUGGCCAAAUAGUUAAUUUUCUGGCCCUAUAACCACAUUUUGUUAAAUAAAUACAAACUCCACAUUUCAAAAUGCUAAACACCUUUUUUCUAUGCUAACUCUAUCAACUCAAUUGUAUCAUUCUGUCAAAACUCUACCACUGGUUUUCUAUCCAGCUUGAACAUAUAUUAAAUCAUUGCAGAACAACUGUCAAAAUAAUAACAAUUGAUGGAAUCAUGAAAAAUUCAUUAUUUGUCAUUUUUAAGUUCUACCUGUAGACAUUAUGAAAUCCAUUGUUUUUUAUAAUUCAGUUUCCUUUUACUGUAAACCAUUCUAUAUUUUUGGUUGAGUGUUGAAUGUGUUCAAUCUAAAAGUAAAUGAGUAAUUACUUUAUAAAGUGUGCAGUAAAAAAAAAAGAAAGAAAAAAGAAGGGCAGCCACUGUUCAAAUG